AAUCCAGUGAAUAUAAUUCAUUAGUUGCCAAAAUGAAUUCACGGCCCCUUGGAGUAUACGUUACUCGUGGUGUAAGUCGACAUGCUUGUCUCAUCUUGAUAAUUGAUUAAAUGAAUCUAUAUGCAUGGUAGAAUAUCAGGAUCAGAGACAUCAUACAUGGAUGGAUUUGAACAACAAAUCAAGUAGCCAUGGCAUGUGGACAUCUCAGCCAUAGUCUAAAAUCACUGGAAACAGAGACGCUGUAAAUGAGUCGAACAGGUAUAUUACACAACAAUCAUUCCAAACACUAAAGCAUAAGAAUGCUUCUCGAAAUUGUAUUUCGAAUUUCGUUCAGGCAUUUUAAUGAACACUUGGCGAUCAGUUCAAAAACAGAACACGGAGUCAUUAUCGAAGCGUCAAUUCCGAUCCCGACAAUUGCAAUGACAUCGGAACGCAUUUAAACUCCUACCAACAGAUCUACCAUCACCAUUUCUACGCUCACUCGAAACCUUAAAUCACAAACCUCGGAUUCAGCUCAAUAAACAAAGCAAUGAUGUACAUACCUCGGAGCCUGUCUUUGGCCGCGAACGGCGACGUCUUGGCGGCAGCAGCAUCGCAGGAGAUCGGCGUCCGCGUAGAAGAAGCUCCAAACGAGUCUCUCGAUUCUGUGUUUUUUAGCUUUCGGCUGUGACAUCUCUCUUGACUUCGGUGAUCGGCGACACGGGCGAAAAGAGAGAGAGA
rnacentral:lncRNA from 1 species